GACGAACGCUGGCGGCGUGCUUAACACAUGCAAGUCGAACGGAAAGGCCCUGCUUUUGUGGGAUGCUCGAGUGGCGAACGGGUGAGUAACACGUGAGUAACCUGCCCUUGACUUUGGGAUAACUUCAGGAAACUGGGGCUAAUACCGGAUAGGAGCUCCUGCUGCAUGGUGGGGGUUGGAAAUUUUCGGCGGUUGGGGAUGGACUCGCGGCUUAUCAGCUUGUUGGUGGGGUAGUGGCUUACCAAGGAUUUGACGGGUAGCCGGCCUGAGAGGGUGACCGGCCACAUUGGGACUGAGAUACGGCCCAGACUCAUACGGGAGGCAGCAGUGGGGAAUAUUGCACAAUGGGCGGAAGCCUGAUGCAGCAACGCCGCGUGCGGGAUGACGGCCUUCGGGUUGUAAACCGCUUUCGCCUGUGACGAAGCGUGAGUGACGGUAAUGGGUAAAGAAGCACCGGCUAACUACGU
rnacentral:rRNA from 1 species